rnacentral:rRNA from 1 species
GACGAACGUUGGCGGCGUGCUUAAUACAUGCAAGUCAACUGAAGCAGUGGUAGCAAUAUCGCUGUGGAGGUGGCGCACGGGGGAGUAACACGUAGGUAAUCUGCCUUCAGGUCUGGCAUAACUCCGGGAAACCGGGGCUAAUAGCAGAUGAUGCAGCGGCUCGACAUCGAGACAGUUGUUAAAGCUAUGGCGCCGGAAGAUGAGCCUGCGUCUGAUUAGCUAGUGGGCGGGGUAACGGCCCACCAAGGUAACGAUCAUUAGCUGGUCUGAGAGGAUGAUCAGCCACACUGGCAGCGACACUGGGUCCAAGAUCCUACCGGAGGCAGCAGUAAGGAAUACUGCUCAAUGGGAGAAAUCAUGAAGCAGAACCGCAGCGUGCGAGACGACGGGCUUUUGCUUGUAAAUCUCUGUAGUGAGCGAAAACACUCCCGAUCUUGGGGACAUGAUGGUAUCUCAAAAGUAAGCACCGGCUAACUACGUG